UGGGGAAUUGUUCGCAAUGGGCGCAAGCCUGACGACGCAACGCCGCGUGGAGGAUGAAGGUCUUCGGAUUGUAAACUCCUGUUGCCCGGGACGAAAAGCCUCGACCUAACACGUCGAGGUCUGACGGUACCGGGUGAGGAAGCCCCGGCUAACUCUGUGCCAGCAGCCGCGGUAAUACAGAGGGGGCAAGCGUUGUUCGGAAUUACUGGGCGUAAAGGGCGCGUAGGCGGCCUGCUAAGUCGAACGUGAAAUCCCCGGGCUCAACCCGGGAACUGCGUCCGAUACUGGUUGGCUUGAAUCCGGGAGAGGGAUGCGGAAUUCCAGGUGUAGCGGUGAAAUGCGUAGAUAUCUGGAGGAACACCGGUGGCGAAGGCGGCAUCCUGGACCGGCAUUGACGCUGAGGCGCGAAAGCCAGGGGAGCAAACGGG
rnacentral:rRNA from 1 species